rnacentral:rRNA from 1 species
UACGUAGGGGGCAAGCGUUGUCCGGAAUCAUUGGGCGUAAAGAGCGUGUAGGCGGCCUGAUAAGUCGGCUGUGAAAGUCAAGGGCUCAACCCUUGAAUGCCGGCCGAUACUGUCAGGCUAGAGUCCGGAAGAGGCGAGUGGAAUUCCUGGUGUAGCGGUGAAAUGCGCAGAUAUCAGGAGGAACACCUAUGGCGAAGGCAGCUCGCUGGGACGGUACUGACGCUGAGACGCGAAAGCGUGGCGAGCGAACAGU